AUGCAGCUGACGAGUCCCAAAUAGGACGAAACACUCGCCCUGGAU
rnacentral:hammerhead_ribozyme from 1 species